rnacentral:tRNA from 1 species
GCCGGGGUCGCAUAGGCUGGCUAUUGCGCCUGCCUGAAAAGCAGGUGACUCACCAAGUCACACGGGUUCGAAUCCCGUCCCCGGCG